GUAACAAGGUUUCCGUAGGUGAACCUGCGGAAGGAUCAUUACCGAGUGCGGGAACCCAGUCGGGUCCCAAUCUCCCACCCGUGUCUACCACACCUAGUGUUGCUUUGGCGGGCCCACUCCUCCGGUGUUCCGCCGGGGGGGUCGUCCCGGGGCGCGGUGUGCCCCCGGGGCCCGUGCCCGCCAGAGGCACUCACUGUGAACGCUUUUGUGAAUGCGAGGAUUGUCUGAGUGACGAAAUGCAAUCGUUCAAAACUUUCAACAAUGGAUCUCUUGGUUCCGGCAUCGAUGAAGAACGCAGCGAAAUGCGAUAAGUAAUGUGAAUUGCAGAAUUCCGUGAAUCAUCGAAUCUUUGAACGCACAUUGCGCCCUCUGGUAUUCCGGGGGGCAUGCCUGUCCGAGCGUCAUUGCGAACCCUCAAGCACGGCUUGUGUGUUGGGCCGCCGUCCCCUCGUUUGGAGGGGACGGGCCUGAAAGGCAGCGGCGGCGUCGCGUCCGGUCCUCGAGCGUAUGGGGCUCUGUCACGCGCUCAAGGAGGGGUCCGGCCGGGGCCAUAGCCUCUGAAGGUCAAUUCUUCCAAGGUUGACCUCGGAUCAGGUAGGAGUACCCGCUGAACUUAAGCAUAUCA
rnacentral:misc_RNA from 1 species